CCUGGAACAGUGGCUUGUCUUGCACUUAUCACAAGGCUCUUGCAUUGUGUUGGUACCACAGACAUCCUUUUCCUUCAGGAAAACAUUCGUCUAGUCAUGGCCUAGAUCAAGGGUGAGGUGUUGGAUCUUUCAGAUUCUGUCUGCAUAUGUGUCGAAGCUGUUGCACAACGGCUAGUUUUGGUUUGUUAAAUUCAGAACUGGAUUAAUAGGGGAAGCUGUGGAUCAGAACCAAGGCAUGCUGAUGCUGGGAGAACUGCAAAAAACCACCCCAAAACCUUCGAGUUGGGGUGCUCAUGCAUUGACAGUCUUUUUUCAGGAAGGACAGCGAGGAUUCCAGCACUCGGCGGUUUGCUGGAGACCAAGGUUCAGCUAAAUUAUCAGAGCUGUCUGAGGCAAGCUUAUAAAGCACCUGCUUGUUUUGUUUGUGGCACUGGAGCUUUUAGUCCGUAUUUUUCUGGAUGCUAAACAUGUAAAACCUUUGGAAACUAUAUCCAAUGGUGUUAAACUUUUAGCCUAGAUUUUUAAAUGCUUUAGUCUAUUUGUCUGGUAUUCUGAUGUUGUUGCCAAAUGCUUAAAGGUAGUACUUUUGAGUCACACUUAAUUUCUCCCUGUCUCUUAAUUCAUGUCUGGCUGAUACUUUGGUUGGCCACAACUAUGAAGUUCAGCUUCACUAAGUUGCCUCCUUUUUCCUUUGAAUUAUUUUCCUCCUCCUUUUAGUGUUUUGCUUAACCUCAUUAUUUCCUUGUCUUCAGUGUUUAAUAAAAUUCUUUCUCAAUAUCUUCUUCUCUUUAGCUCUAAUGACUUCCCUUGAUUAUAACUUUCUUGCCUGGCCUUCCUCUUUUUGUAAUCACUGCUACUUAUGUCCCCUCUUUCCUCUGUUACUUAAUUGUGAUCCUAUCCUUAGUUGAUGCCUUUGUUGGCUUCCUGUCUCAUAUUACAGCUCCCUUGUCAGACUCGCAAGUAAUCUUACUUGGUCUCACUAUAUUUAUUCAGUGCCAUAGUAUUCUAUAAGCACUUCCAGUCAUAUUUCUCGCCGCUCUUUUGGGCUUUGGCUGCACUAGAGCUAUCACUGCUAAUCUGUGUUUGGGUGCCUCUGCAAGCCUGAAGGCAUUCCCAUAGCGAUGUAUGUUUAUUAACAAGUUGUGCAAAUUUGCUGCAAUAUUUGAGCUCUAUGUCUUACAAGGAAGAUCCACCUGUCAUCAGCCACAUUAGUCUUCACAUGGGGUACCUGCUGUAGAUGACACAUGCUAUAUAGUACUUUCCAUAGUACAAGCAAACUUUUACUCUUCUGAUACAACGUGAGAUUUCUGGAGUUUCCUUGUCUGUGUAAGUCGUUUCGUUUACCUGGAUUUAUUGCACUAGUUUUUUUUGCCAACAACUAUUUGAUUCAUCUCUGCCUGUUCUUAUUGGAAGUUUAUGGAAUAUACCUGAAAAAUCACAGAAUCGGCAUACUAUUCACUGCCUUUGGGUAUUUGAAUUCUUUGAAAUAUGGAUACUGCCACAGCUGGACUUUUUCAUAUGGAAUAAUCUAGAGUAUGAUUGGAUAUGCAGAUAUUUUGCUGAAUUGGAUACAGUUUGCUCAGAAAAACAGUUUUGGGAGGAGAGCUAGAAUGAGUGCUCCAAUUGGAAUGAAACAAACCAACUGUUCCAGGAGAGGAAGGAGACCUCUUCUUUCACGAUGGACAAGGAUUAUGUUGUCGGUAUUUUCUUCAUCCGUGGACUACAAGAUGCUCUCGAGUAGAGUUGAAGCUGUAUCACUGAAUUGUAGGAGAUUUGCAUGGAGGAGAUGGAGGAGUACACUCCUUUUGUGGCAUAGACAAAGACAUUGUGGCGCAGAGACCCUAUCAGGAUCUUGGGAAUAAAUCAUUUCAAGCUACAGAGUUGAUGGCAGCAUCAAAUAAGUCUGAAGAAGCCACCUUUUGAAGCGUGCCAGAGCUUCUGAACCAGAACCUAUUCGGUAGCAAGGCAACAACUGGGAAAUGCUGGUACGUCCAUUGUGUGGAAGGAAUGUGACUCAUCUAGGAAUGACAAAAGCAAAGUGCUUGAUAAAUCCCAGCUCAGCUUUCAACAAUUGGGAAAAUGUGGGGGAAAAAGUCUGAAAGAAAACAAAACUUAAAUGCCAAGACAAACUUAGUCAGGAAGACUGAGAAUUCAUCAAGGGCCAUCUCUGAUUAAAGAAACAAGACUACAGAAGAGACAUUCAGACUUUCGAUGAAGUUCUUGUAGGACUACCAGCAACUUGCAGUUAGUGUAAACAAAAUCUGGUCGUUUUCCACAUAGGCCCACCUUGUUCAGGUGACUUCCAUGGUUUAUGUUGAAGAAGAUUUGUGUAACUUGAGUGGAGGGUGUCAGCUAAACUUAGUCAGUGAAUCUGAUGUUGACAUCUCUUUAAUGUCUUGCAUCUGAAAAUACAUAAAUGCUGAUAACAUUUGUUGUAGCAACUUCAGCUGUUGCAAGAUCUGGGAGCUUCUGGUGCCUGUGGUGCUCUAUCCCUAUUUUGUAGGGUUGCACAGAGACUAAAGAACAGAUGAAAUGGUACUGUGAGAUACACUAGCGGUCAAUUCACCUUGCUUGGCUUUCGGAGCCAUGCUCUGCCAGCCUUCUCUGCAUGCUUUCUGUCUAUAGCUGAACGAUCAUCUGAGUUCAUGAACUUCAACACUGUGGGAAGCAAUCACUCUGAAGAUGAAAUAAUUUAUUGUCCUAUUUGUAGGCUGAUUUUAUGUCCUUAUUUGAAAGAAACAGGAUUUCUAAUACUGUCUUUUAGAAUUAGCUUCUGGUGGUGCUGUGCUUACUUGCCUUCCUCCCUCCUUAAAUGCGCAAUAUCUCUUAUCUGUCAUCAUGCCACACAUUAGAUACAUAUAUAUGAAAAUAAUCUGUUACUUCAUAGGAUUGGGUUUCUGAUUUAUUCUUGGGAUUCAAGAGGUGCAUGUGGAUUCAUUUGCAAGUCCUGCAAUUCAGGGUAUCCAGUCAUAAGAGUGAUAAACAUAUAUAUGGAACAUUUCAUAUAUAAUACAGCUCUACAGUAUCUAGCAAGAACUUUUCAUUAUUCUGUUGCUCAAGCAAGUGCUGUUAUCCAUGAUGGCAAAUUAACUGCUCCUACUUAAUGAUUGAAAUCCUUAUUCAGGCAGUCUUGUACUUUCUGCUGAGAUGAAGACGUUUCUCUUCCUUGAUUCUGAAGUUGCUGUCUAGUCAUGUGCCUCCUGCCAGUCCUUGUGCUCUCCCGUACAACUACAAACUACUAGUUUUACUGCAAGCAAAUAAACAUUAUGCUUGAGCUACCUGGGGUGUUUCCUGACAAUGUUCAGGACCUGCAGU